UGGGGAAUAUUGGGCAAUGGGGGAAACCCUGACCCAGCGACGCCGCGUGAGGGAAGAAGGCCUUAGGGUCGUAAACCUCUGUUGUGUGGGAAGAAGAGCGUGACGGUACCACACGAGGAAGUCCCGGCUAACUACGUGCCAGCAGCCGCGGUAAUACGUAGGGGACGAGCGUUGUCCGGAUUUACUGGGCGUAAAGGGCGCGUAGGCGGUCAUUUAAGUCAGCUGUGAAAUGGUUUGGCUUAACCGGAUCAUGCGGUUGAAACUGGAUGACUGGAGUGCUGGAGAGGCAAGUGGAAUUCCCAGUGUAGCGGUGAAAUGCGUAGAUAUUGGGAAGAACACCGGUGGCGAAGGCGACUUGCUGGCCAGCAACUGACGCUGAGGCGCGAAGGCGCGGGGAUCAAACA
rnacentral:rRNA from 1 species